rnacentral:rRNA from 1 species
UUUUCCGCAAUGGGCGAAAGCCUGACGGAGCAAUACCGCGUGAGGGAGGAAGGCUCUUGGGUUGUAAACCUCUUUUCUCAGGGAAGAAAAAAAUGACGGUACCUGAGGAAUAAGCAUCGGCUAACUCCGUGCCAGCAGCCGCGGUAAUACGGAGGAUGCAAGCGUUAUCCGGAAUGAUUGGGCGUAAAGCGUCCGCAGGUGGCAUUGAAAGUCUGCUGUCAAAGAGUCUGGCUCAACCAGAUAAAGGCAGUGGAAACUACAAAGCUAGAGUACGUUCGGGGCAGAGGGAAUUCCUGGUGUAGCGGUGAAAUGCGUAGAGAUCAGGAAGAACACCGGUGGCGAAAGCGCUCUGCUAGGCCGUAACUGACACUGAGGGACGAAAGCUAGGGGAGCGAAUGGGAUUAG